rnacentral:rRNA from 1 species
UACGUAGGGUGCGAGCGUUGUCCGGAAUUAUUGGGCGUAAAGGGCUCGUAGGCGGUCUGUCACGUCGGGAGUGAAAACUCGGGGCUUAACCCCGAGCCUGCUUCCGAUACGGGCAGACUAGAGGUAUGCAGGGGAGAACGGAAUUCCUGGUGUAGCGGUGAAAUGCGCAGAUAUCAGGAGGAACACCGGUGGCGAAGGCGGCUCUCUGGGCCUUACCUGACGCUGAGGAGCGAAAGCGUGGGUAGCGAACAGG